AUAGCCAAAAACUACCCUAACAUAAAUCUUAAUCUACUUUUAUUUCUAUUUUUGUCUUCUCUUCUACUUCAUCCUUCUCUUACUCUUUGUAAUCAACCGGACUCAGAGGAACCAUCUUCAGUUUCAUUUUCAUGACUUCAUCUUUGAUAUAGAUCACCUGCAGCGCAUUUUUGAUAUCCUGGUCUUUUUUGUCAAAUGAAAUAGUGCGAUUCACAGAACCACCAUCCCAUUUUGCUCUCUUAGCAAGUUGGAGUAGG
rnacentral:lncRNA from 1 species